GUACUGCGGAAGGAUCAUUA
rnacentral:rRNA from 1 species